CUGCACAGGGCUGAAUUUCACCCCUUCCGAGUGUAUUCUAAGGGCCCCCCGUGCAUCAUAUGGGCAUUCUUGGGGUUGCAGAUGGCAUCAGACCUACACCUGAAUAAAUAAUAGAGACUGAAAUAUGCAGACACUAAAGUUCUGCAGCCAAAUUCUCAGGAACCUUCCUCUUCCAUGUAGGAUCAGGAUUUUGUUUUGAAUUGUUUUAUUUUUUUAAAAAGUGCUAAGCAGAUGCUACCCUGUAAGAAGAGGAAACAGAAGCAAAAACUGAAAGACUGUUACUAAAACUAAUGAAGAGCUGCAGAGAGUGGAGACCCAGCAAAGCAGACAAAUGAAUACUGGAAAGGAUCCCCAAAGGAGGUGUAAGGAUCCGGGACUCUAGUGUCUGCCAGAAGCUUCAGCCACCUUCACAGGUUAGAGCUCGCCCUCCAUUGUGGAGGUGAAGACCGGAUGGGAGCUGCUGGAUUGACCUUGAUGUGCCAUGUCCUUGUGUGGAUGAAGGACCUACAUCUCAGGGGUGGCCAGCAGCAGAUGUAACACAUGUGUCCAGGAAUGGGCUAAAUAACCUACCUUGAGAGAUCUCAGCCGCUCAGCAGAAAGCGGGAGAGCCGAGUGCUGAUGGGCUAGAGGGUGCCAGUCGUCGCUGUGCAGCAAGGGCAGUGUCUGCAGUCACCAUGGGCCACACCCAGACAACCCAGGCUGGUUCCCUGGAUUGCAAAGGGGACUUUGGCUUGUGGAAUCGGUGCUGGUGCCUGUGUCCACAACUGGGAGGUUUUUCUGAGGCUACUCCAUGGUCCAAGAAGCGCCAUGCAAGCAAGAGGAGAAUGGACAUUAGAGAGCGAGGCCAGGACCUCUGCGGGGCUGCUGCAGUCAAACAUCCACAGCCAGAAGAGAGACGAUGGGAAACGCGCUUCGAUGGCUGGCCACAGCCGCAGCAGCUGUCUCAGAAAGCUCUGCUCAUGCUCCAGCCAACAGAGGCAGGACGAAGAGCCACACAGGCAGAGCCUGGGUUGCAAUUAGCAAGUCACGGUUUUUUCAGUGGAUUAUGCUGCCCUGACCGUCUAUUU